rnacentral:rRNA from 1 species
GACGAACGCUGGCGGCGUGCCUAAUACAUGCAAGUAGAACGCUGAAGGAGGAGCUUGCUCUUCUGGAUGAGUUGCGAACGGGUGAGUAACGCGUAGGUAACCUGCCUGGUAGCGGGGGAUAACUAUUGGAAACGAUAGCUAAUACCGCAUAACAGUAGAUGUUGCAUGACAUUUGCUUAAAAGGUGCAAUUGCACCACUACCAGAUGGACCUGCGUUGUAUUAGCUAGUUGGUGGGGUAACGGCUCACCAAGGCGACGAUACAUAGCCGACCUGAGAGGGUGAUCGGCCACACUGGGACUGAGACACGGCCCAGACUCCUACGGGAGGCAGCAGUAGGGAAUCUUCGGCAAUGGACGGAAGUCUGAACGAGCAAAGCCGCGGGAGUUAAGAAGGGUUUCGGAUCGUAAAGCUCUGUUGUAAGAGAAGAACGAGUGUGAGAGUGGAAAGUUCACACUGUGACGGUAGCUUAACAGAAAGGGACGGCUAACUACGUG